rnacentral:rRNA from 1 species
GAUGAACGCUGGCGGCGUGCCUAACACAUGCAAGUCAAACGGAGAUUACGGACGGAAGUUUUCGGAUGGAAGCCUGUAAUUCUUAGUGGCGGACGGGUGAGUAACGCGUGGGCAACCUGCCCUAUACAGGGGGAUAGCAGCUGGAAACGGCUGGUAAGACCGCAUAAGUCGGUUAAAUCGCAUGAUUUGAUCGGGAAAUGAGCAAUCAGGUAUAGGAUGGGCCCGCGUCCGAUUAGCCAGUUGGCAGGGUAAAAGCCUACCAAAGCGACGAUCGGUAGCCGGACUGAGAGGUCGGACGGCCACAUUGGGACUGAGACACGGCCCAAACUCCUACGGGAGGCAGCAGUGGGGGAUAUUGCACAAUGGAGGAAACUCUGAUGCAGCGACGCCGCGUGAGUGAAGAAGUAUUUCGGUAUGUAAAGCUCUAUCAGCAGGGAAGAUGAUGACGGUACCUGACUAAGAAGCCCCGGCUAACUACGUG